rnacentral:rRNA from 1 species
AAACCAUGGUGAAGGAACUCGGCAAAAUACCCCCGUAACUUCGGGAUAAGGGGGACCUGAUGCGUAUUAGAAUUUACUUCGAAAGCGUUGAGGGUCGCAGAGACCAGGCCCAAGCGACUGUUUACUAAAAACACAGGUCCGUGCUAAGUCGAAAGACGAUGUAUACGGACUGACUCCUGCCCGGUGCUGGAAGGUUAAGGGGAAGGGUUAGCUUUACGGCGAAGCCUUGAACUUAAGCCCCAGUAAACGGCGGUGGUAACUAUAACCAUCCUAAGGUAGCGAAAUUCCUUGUCGGGUAAGUUCCGACCUGCACGAAUGGAGUAACGAUUUGGGCGCUGUCUCCACCAUGGACUCGGCGAAAUCGCACUACGAGUAAAGAUGCUCGUUACGCGCAGCAGGACGGAAAGACCCCGGGACCUUCACUAUAGUUUGGUAUUGGUGAUCGGUGUGACUUGUGUAGGAUAGGUGGGAGACUUUGAAGCUUGGACGCCAGUUCAGGUGGAGUCAUCGUUGAAAUACCACUCUGGUCACUCUGGUUAUCUAACCUAGGUCCAUUAUCAGGAUCAGGGACAGUGCCUGAUGGGUAGUUUGACUGGGGCGGUCGCCUCCUAAAAGGUAACGGAGGCGCCCAAAGGUUCCCUCAGCCUGGUUGGCAAUCAGGUUUCGAGUGUAAGUGCACAAGGGGGCUUGACUGCGAGAGAGACAUCUCGAGCAGGGACGAAAGUCGGGACUAGUGAUCUUCUGGUGGCACAUGGAAGCGCCAGGACUCAACGGAUAAAAGGUACCCCGGGGAUAACAGGCUGAUCUUGCCCGAGCGUCCAUAGCGACGGCAUGGUUUGGCACCUCGAUGUCGGCUCGUCGCAUCCUGGGGCUGGAGUCGGUCCCAAGGGUUGGGCUGUUCGCCCAUUAAAGCGGCACGCGAGCUGGGUUUAGAACGUCGUGAGACAGUUCGGUCCCUAUCCGCUGCGCGCGUAGGAGUCUUGAGAAGAGCUGUCCUUAGUACGAGAGGACCGGGACGGACUAACCUCUGGUGUGCCAGUUGUUCUACCAAGAGCACGGCUGGUUGGCUACGUUGGGAAGUGAUAACCGCUGAAAGCAUCUAAGCGGGAAGCACGCUUCAAGAUGAGGGCUCCCACAGAUUAAUCUGGUAAGGCCCCCUAUAGACCAUGGGGUGAUAGGUCGGAUGUGGAAGUGCAGUAAUGUACGGAGCUGACCGAUACUAAUAGGCCGAGGGCUUGUUUCC